rnacentral:tRNA from 2 species
GCCGGUGUGGUGAAAUUGGUAUACACGACGGAUUCAAAAUCCGUUGCCUUCGGGCGUGGCGGUUCGAGUCCGCCCACCGGCACCA